GAAGCAGGCCAGAUGAUCGCCGGCCGCCCUUGAGGCCGCCGGAGGAAAGUCCGAGCUCCACAGGGCAGGGUGCUGGGUAAUCCCCAGCGGGGGCAACCCUAGGGAAAGUGCCUCAGAGACCAGACCGCCGUGGUACGUCCACGGUAAGGGUGAAAGGGUGAGGUAAGAGCUCACCAGCGGCAGUGGCGACAUUGCCGGCUUGGAAAACCCCACCUGGAGCAAGACCAAAUAGGGGAGCGUUCGAGGGUGGCCCGCCCGAAGCUCCCGGGUAGGUUGCUGGAGGCCUCGGGUAACCGGGGUCAUAGAGGAAUGAUCAUCACCGGGGCAACCCGGGACAGAACUCGGCUUACGGCCUGCUUCGCGC
rnacentral:RNase_P_RNA from 1 species